GUCCCUCAGUUUGUCAAAACCUGAGAAGUGGAUGGUUGACGCUUCAAACCGCUGCCACUGCUUCUAUCAUAAAGACACCAAGCACGGAAGACACGGAUAAUACAGCUUCUUCUGCUUCACAUUUCAUUGGAUUUUACAUUUCUUAUCGUUUGAGGGACCAGGAGCGCAAUUCGUCCACCCGAGGAGGCACUUGGAGGAACAUGUGCUGGAAGAACAACAAUUACGAACGAUACUUUUUUUUUCACAGCAAUCGCAGGGAAGCUCAAAUUGAUUCUGAUUGGAUUUUUAGACAUGCGUGGGGUUUUGGUGCCUGAGACGCACUCUGAUGCUUAUCAAAAUUGUGUAAUCGAACACAGGCAUUGGUCGCUGAACUGAAAAUUUGUUCUUUAUAGAUAAAGAUCUUGGCGGGAAAAACCGCAUCGAUGCAUAGAGAAAAAAAUGUGACAAGGACGCGCGUAUGUCCUUGCUGUGAGCCACAUUCCAGGCCACGUGUUCGCCUAUUUACUCCCAACAGAGGGACGGGGUCUGACGUGAGUCACUUGUGUCCAGGGGGAUGGUGACACAGCCAGCGCCACGAGUUUACCAAACAAGCUUUAAAGUUCAGCCAUGUUUUAGUGUACACACUUCAAAGUGUGGCCGGUGUUUAAUAUGGGCUCUGGAGGAUAAACAACCCAAAGGAACGGAAAAAUAAAUUCUAGUAAUUCAUUCUUUUAGUUUCAGAGACGCGAUAUUGUUUGCCUGCAUUGUACCAUCACUAAUUAGGGGUUCUUGCUAAGUUGGCUGUUUGAGAUGGAAAUGGAGGAGGAUGCAGGUCCCGGCUCAUCUACUUUUCUCGGUAUCUUAGCCGAAAUGUCUUUUCCAGGGCUUGGCACUGUCCAUGCGCAUGUUUGGGGUGUCAACAACGCACCUGCCGCCUGCCGUCCCCUCUGGAACGCCAGCACGCGCCGCCGUGACACCCCCUCACCUCUCACCCACUUCACCCUGCUUCACCCUGCCAGCUAUAACCGGUUCAAGUCUUCUAUCACUCUUAUAAAUCAACACGUCGGACUCACCGCUCACAACCGUAGCGCAUGUUCUUGUGUGGCCCAUCUUUCUCUUUCCUCUCUCUUAAGUCUGGGACAGUUUCUAUUCCAGACAGGUGCUGGUGAUACAGCAGGUGUAGCGGGAGAUUUACUGAUUUCAUCGUAUUCUGUUGAGCAAUAAUUCUGAGCCUGGGGCACGAGGCAGGUAAACCCUCCGACCGCCUGCACCCGCUGACUCCUUCACAAGACGAGAGCAAUGCCCCACCGCAGAGAGAGAGAGAGAGAGAGAGAGAGAGAGAGAGAGAGAGGGGGACAAACUUCAUUAAUUUUCUCGUCUUGGCAUAGAAAUGCCAGUUUAAUAUUUAGCUACCAAAAGAAAAUCUAUUUACGCCACCUUUCAAAAUGUGAUUUUACAGUCUCUGUUCAACACUCACUCGUUGAAAAUAAAGGAAAAACAGUAAUAUGUAAUAUUUUCCGUUGUGAUAUUUUGUUGAAGUCAGAAAUGUAAUAUGCUGAAUUGGCGCUAUAGAAUAAUUUCAUCAUAUAUUAUUAUUUUGUGCGGAAACCAUGUCUUUACUGUCACCUUUUAAUCGGUUUGUAGAAUAUUAGUGAAAAUAUUCAUUAAAACUAUUCAAUUAAAAAAA